GAUGAACGCUGGCGGCGUGCUUAACACAUGCAAGUCGAACGAAGUAAUUUAGCGGAAGUUUUCGGAUGGAAGCUGGAUUGACUGAGUGGCGGACGGGUGAGUAACGCGUGGGUAACCUGCCUCACACUGGGGGACAACAGUUAGAAAUGACUGCUAAUACCGCAUAAGCGCACAGGACCGCAUGGUCCGGUGUGAAAAGGAGCAAUCCGCUUUGAGAUGGCCUCGCGUCCGAUUAGCUAGUUGGUGAGGUAAUGGCCCACCAAGGCGACGAUCGGUAGCCGGACUGAAAGGUUGAACGGCCACAUUGGGACUGAGACACGGCCCAGACUCCUACGGGAGGCAGCAGUGGGGAAUACUGCACAAUGGGGAACCCUGAUGCAGCGACGCCGCGUGGAGGAAGAAGGUCUUCGGAUUGUAAACUCCUGUUGUUGAGGAAGAUAAUGACGGUACUCAACAAGGAAGUGACGGCUAACUACGUG
rnacentral:rRNA from 1 species